rnacentral:rRNA from 1 species
CCCUUAGAUGUUCUGGGCCGCACGCGUGCUACACUGAGUGGAUCAGCGGGUCAGGUUGCGCGAAAGUGUUUCCUAAUCUUUAAAUCCGCUCGUGAUGGGGAUUGACGGUUGCAAUUUUCCGUCAUGAACGAGGAAUACCUUGUAAGCGCGGGUCAUCAUCCCGCGCUGAAUACGUCCCUGCCCUUUGUACACACCGCCCGUCGCUCCUACCGAUUGAGUGGUCCGGUGAGGCUUUGGGAUCUGAGCGGAAAGAGCGUUUCGCUGUUUCUGCCCGGAAAACUCAGUCGAACCUUAUCAUUUAGAGGAAGGAGAAGUCAUAACA